rnacentral:rRNA from 1 species
GAUGAACGCUGGCGGCGUGCCUAACACAUGCAAGUCGAACGGAGAUUCCGGACGGAAGUUUUCGGAUGGAGGCCUGUAAUUCUUAGUGGCGGACGGGUGAGUAACGCGUGGGCAACCUGCCCUAUACAGGGGGAUAGCAGCUGGAAACGGCUGGUAAGACCGCAUAAGUCGGUUAAAUCGCAUGAUUUGAUCGGGAAAUGAGCAAUCAGGUAUAGGAUGGGCCCGCGUCCGAUUAGCCAGUUGGCAGGGUAAAAGCCUACCAAAGCGACGAUCGGUAGCCGGACUGAGAGGUCGGACGGCCACAUUGGGACUGAGACACGGCCCAAACUCCUACGGGAGGCAGCAGUGGGGGAUAUUGCACAAUGGAGGAAACUCUGAUGCAGCGACGCCGCGUGAGUGAAGAAGUAUUUCGGUAUGUAAAGCUCUAUCAGCAGGGAAGAUGAUGACGGUACCUGACUAAGAAGCCCCGGCUAACUACGUG